rnacentral:rRNA from 1 species
GACGAACCGUCCAAACGUUAUUCGGAAUCACUGGGCUUAAAGGGUGCGUAGGCGGCGCGGAAAGUUGGGUGUGAAAUCCCUCGGCUCAACCGAGGAACUGCGCCCAAAACUACCGUGCUCGAGGAAGAUAGAGGUGAGCGGAACUUAGGGUGGAGCGGUGAAAUGCGUUGAUAUCCUAAGGAACACCGGUGGCGAAAGCGGCUCACUGGAUCUUUUCUGGACGCUGAGGCACGAAAGCUAGGGUAGCGAACGGGG